rnacentral:rRNA from 1 species
GUAGGUGGCAAGCGUUGUCCGGAAUUAUUGGGCGUAAAGCGCGCGCAGGCGGUCCUUUAAGUCUGAUGUGAAAGCCCACGGCUCAACCGUGGAGGGUCAUUGGAAACUGGGGGACUUGAGUACAGAAGAGGAAAGUGGAAUUCCACGUGUAGCGGUGAAAUGCGUAGAGAUGUGGAGGAACACCAGUGGCGAAGGCGACUUUCUGGUCUGUAACUGACGCUGAGGCGCGAAAGCGUGGGGAGCAAACAGGGAUUAGAUACCCUGGUAGUCCACGCCGUAAACGAUGAGUGCUAAGUGUUAGAGGGUUUCCGCCCUCUAGUGCUGCAGCUAACGCAUUAAGCACUCCGCCUGGGAGUACGGCCGCAAGGCUG